rnacentral:rRNA from 1 species
GAUGAACGCUGGCGGCGUGCCUAACACAUGCAAGUCGAGCGAUCUUCUUCGGAAGAGAGCGGCGGACGGGUGAGUAACGCGUGGGUAACCUGCCUCAUACACAUGGAUAACAUACCGAAAGGUAUGCUAAUACAAGAUGAUAUAAGAGAUUCGCAUGAAUUUCUUAUCAAAGCUUUUGCGGUAUGAGAUGGACCCGCGUCUGAUUAGCUAGUUGGUAAGGUAAUGGCUUACCAAGGCGACGAUCAGUAGCCGACCUGAGAGGGUGAUCGGCCACAUUGGAACUGAGACACGGUCCAAACUCCUACGGGAGGCAGCAGUGGGGAAUAUUGCACAAUGGGCGAAAGCCUGAUGCAGCAACGCCGCGUGAGCGAUGAAGGCCUUCGGGUCGUAAAGCUCUGUCCUCAAGGAAGAUAAUGACGGUACUUGAGGAGGAAGCCCCGGCUAACUACGUGCCAGCCGCCGCCGUAA